rnacentral:sRNA from 1 species
CCUGGGCAGUGGCGGGGCUGGCCGAGGCUGCGGCAUUUCUCCCCAAGGAAGUGUCUUCCCCGCUUUCCCUAUUCUUCUGUUUCUCACACACUUUCUAUCUCAUUCUGUAACUUUCAAGCCUUUCCUUCUAACUGUAUGUAUUUAGUUGCUUGUUUUCAAGCUGGUUCCCUCUCUGGCCCCCUGGCCUGGGGAAAGCCUCCACACUUACUGCGAGUCUUGUUUAGAGUCUGAGUUUGUGAGAUUAUUGGGGGGAGAGUGGGCGAGUGGCUGACAGGUGACCCCCAGGAGGAGGAUUCCUGGGGCUGGUGUCUUCUCCCAGCUGCUGCUUCCAGUGGGCCUGGGCCCAGGACUGGACCUCCGCUGGCACCCCUGAGUGCCUCCCUGCCAGGUUGCAAAAGUGUCCACUACGAUCUGGUCUUCCUCCUGGACACCUCCUCCAGCGUGGGCAAGGAGGACUUUGAGAAGGUCCGGCAGUGGGUGGCCAACCUGGUGGACACCUUUGAGGUGGGCCCCGACCGCACCCGUGUGGGGGUCGUGCGCUACAGCGACCGGCCCACCACGGCCUUCGAGUU